UNUAGUGAGUGCUUUAAGAUAGGUGUUUGGU
rnacentral:piRNA from 1 species